UGGGGUAUGGUGUAAUUGGCAACACGGCUGAUUCUGGUUCAGUUGUUCUAGGUUCGAGUCCUAGUACCCCAGC
rnacentral:tRNA from 2 species